GAUGAACGCUAGCGGCAGGCCUAACACAUGCAAGUCGAGGGAUAAGCCUUCGGGCUGAAACCGGCGCCCGGGUGCGUAACGCGUAUACAAUCUUCCUUUCACAUAUGGAUAGCCCGGAGAAAUUUGGAUUAAUACCUAAUGGUAUAUAAGAGUGGCAUCAUUUUUAUAUUAAAGCUUUGGUUGUGAAAGCUGAGUAUGCGUUCUAUUAGCUAGUUGGAGAGUUAACGGCUCCCCAAGGCGACGAUAGAUAGGGGUUCUGAGAGGGAUGUCCCCCACACUGGUACUGAGAUACGGACCAGAAUCCGACGGGAGGAAGCAGUGAGGAAUAUUGGACAAUGGUCGGAAGACUGAUCCAGCCAUGCCGAGUGCAGGACGACGGUACUAUGGAUUGUAAACUGCUUGUGUAAGGGAAGAAUAAGGAGUACGUGUACUUUGAUGACGGUACCUUACGAAUAAGCAUCGGCUAACUCCGUG
rnacentral:rRNA from 1 species